rnacentral:rRNA from 2 species
UACCAACCCGAUGCAAACUGCGAAUACCGGAGAAUGUUAUCACGGGAGACACACGGCGGGUGCUAACGUCCGUCGUGAAGAGGGAAACAACCCAGACCGCCAGCUAAGGUCCCAAAGUCAUGGUUAAGUGGGAAACGAUGUGGGAAGGCCCAGACAGCCAGGAUGUUGGCUUAGAAGCAGCCAUCAUUUAAAGAAAGCGUAAUAGCUCACUGGUCGAGUCGGCCUGCGCGGAAGAUGUAACGGGGCUAAACCAUGCACCGAAGCUGCGGCAGCGACGCUGAUGCGUUGUUGGGUAGGGGAGCGUUCUGUAAGCCUGCGAAGGUGGCCUGUGAGGGUUGCUGGAGGUAUCAGAAGUGCGAAUGCUGACAUAAGUAACGAUAAAGCGGGUGAAAAGCCCGCUCGCCGGAAGACCAAGGGUUCCUGUCCAACGUUAAUCGGGGCAGGGUGAGUCGACCCCUAAGGCGAGGCCGAAAGGCGUAGUCGAUGGGAAACGGGUUAAUAUUCCCGUACUUGGUGUUACUGCGAAGGGGGGACGGAGAAGGCUAUGUUGGCCGGGCGACGGUU